rnacentral:sRNA from 1 species
CGUGGAUGAUCUGCGGGCAGAUGAAAUGGAUGUGCGUGUCGAUCCCGCCGGCCGUGACGAUCCUGCCUUCCGCCGAGAUGACCUCGGUGCCGGCGCCGAUUUCCAUCCCCUUCGUCACGCCCGGCAUCAGGUCGGGAUUGCCCGCCUUGCCGAUGCCGGCGAUACGGCCGUCGCGGAUGCCGAUGUCCGCCUUCACGAUGCCCCAAUAGUCCAGGAUGAUCGCGUUCGUGAUGACCACGUCGAGCGCGCCGUUCUUCCGCGUGGCCGAGGGAGACUGCCCCAUCCCGUCGCG